GUUUGAUCCUGGCUCAGGACGAACGCUGGCGGCGUGCCUAAUACAUGCAAGUAGAACGCUGAAGAGAGGAGCUUGCUCUUCUUGGAUGAGUUGCGAACGGGUGAGUAACGCGUAGGUAACCUGCCUGGUAGCGGGGGAUAACUAUUGGAAACGAUAGCUAAUACCGCAUAAAAUUGAUUAUUGCAUGAUAAUUGAUUGAAAGAUGCAAUUGCAUCACUACCAGAUGGACCUGCGUUGUAUUAGCUAGUUGGUGAGGUAACGGCUCACCAAGGCGACGAUACAUAGCCGACCUGAGAGGGUGAUCGGCCACACUGGGACUGAGACACGGCCCAGACUCCUACGGGAGGCAGCAGUAGGGAAUCUUCGGCAAUGGGGGGAACCCUGACCGAGCAACGCCGCGUGAGUGAAGAAGGUUUUCGGAUCGUAAAGCUCUGUUGUAAGAGAAGAACGGGUGUGAGAGUGGAAAGUUCACACUGUGACGGUAUCUUACCAGAAAGGGACGGCUAACUACGUGCCAGCAGCCGCGGUAAUACGUAGGUCCCGAGCGUUGUCCGGAUUUAUUGGGCGUAAAGCGAGCGCAGGCGGUUAGAUAAGUCUGAAGUUAAAGGCUGUGGCUUAACCAUAGUAUGCUUUGGAAACUGUUUAACUUGAGUGCAGAAGGGGAGAGUGGAAUUCCAUGUGUAGCGGUGAAAUGCGUAGAUAUAUGGAGGAACACCGGUGGCGAAAGCGGCUCUCUGGUCUGUAACUGACGCUGAGGCUCGAAAGCGUGGGGAGCAAACAGGAUUAGAUACCCUGGUAGUCCACGCCGUAAACGAUGAGUGCUAGGUGUUAGGCCCUUUCCGGGGCUUAGUGCCGCAGCUAACGCAUUAAGCACUCCGCCUGGGGAGUACGACCGCA
rnacentral:rRNA from 1 species